UGGAUGUCAAAGAUUCAGUUCAUACGAGUGAUUCAUUCGCGAAUCAGACGUCACGUGUGACGUCACGCUCUCUCUUCUUCGCUGGUUUGCGGCAGCGCUAUAAAUGCUGGCGCGCUAGUGUGCGCGCUCUCUCAUUUUUGCGAUGUUGCGGUGGAAGUGCGCUAGCGCGUACAAAACUGAGAAAGUCAGGCGGUCACAAGAGGGAGGCUGAAUGUGCUCUGCAUCUACUCCAGCUGCUGCAGCUCCGCUGUAAGUAUGCGCUUUCUCUCGGUCUCGGUCACCCAGCGGUAGUCAGCUGUGCAGGCCAGCCCGUGCCUGAGCUAGUGUUACUCUGCUGGAAGAGGGAGGUGCUGGCGUGUGUGCUCCAGCAGGUUUGGCUGUUUUAG
rnacentral:lncRNA from 1 species